UUGAAGAUAAGAAAGUGAAUUAUCUGUUUUAUUUUGUUUCGGUUAAAUAUGAUUUGUUUGAAUAAGCUUAUUUUUCGUAAAUAAAAGAUUUAUCUUCAAAUCCAUCGAGUAAAAUGAGAUAAUGGGUAGGUGAUGGCAAAAGAAGUUAGUAAUAUACAGGAAUAUGUCAAAGAAUAUACAACUGAUUUGUCGAGUCUGUCUGAGGAAAUGUAAAAGCAGACAUGUUUCACUACUAGAAGUUUUUCAAAUAAAUGCGGAACAGGCAUCAGUAACAUAUGCCGAGGCUUACAAGGAUUGUACGCAAUUGGAAAUCGAAAUUGGCGUGGAUGGCUUACCCGUGUGGCUGUGUAAUAGCUGCAGUCGAGAUCUUCAAUAUGCUUAUGAGUUUAGGAUUAAGGCAAAGAAAAGUGCUGGCACACUCCUUAUUCAGAUAAGAGCUCAAAACGAAGAAAAAUCUCGCCGGGUACCAUCACCAUCCGAAUUUGAGUUACCUGAUAAUAAUGCAGCGCUGGGUUAUGCUCUCGCUGAUGCCGACGUAAUUGAUGCAUGUAGUAGGCAAGUGAUGGAAUGUGACAAAGAUCCGCUGGAGGAGUCAGACAGUGACAAUGAAGUAAGAGGUGAAGUUGCUCCAGCUAUAAAUAAGCUAGAAUCACACACUUCAUCUCAGACCAACUCAGAUUUUAUUUAUGACAGCGAAGACGAAAAGCCUCUAAAAUUACUUAUGACUGGCAAUCAAUCUGAAGUUGUGAGCCCUUUUGAAAAGGAUCAAUGUUCAUUCGAUGACGAUGACGAGUUUAUUGCUGAAGAAAAUACGACUAAAGAAAAAGUUACUGAUCCAAUGUUUUCGCCAGAAGCACAAAUUUUUCCAAAAGGACGAUUCAAAUGUGCUAUUUGUGAACAGCGGUAUUUUACUGCAGCUGGUUUGAAGGCACACAUGGAGGUUCAUUUAGCGAAAAGUUGCAUAACAAAAAAGAAACGUGGACGAAAUAAACAACGUAAAGCUCCAAAAAAAGUUAACAUUAAUGAAGACUGUGAAAACUUGAUUUUGAAUCCAACUAACGAUGAUGAAAAACUUGCCACCGAAGAAACAAAGUAUCAGCAAGAACAGCAAUCACAUGAAAAACCACCUAAAUCGAAAGAACCCAAACCAAAACGCAUGUUUCCGUGUCAUGUAUGCGGUAAACAUAUGAUAUCGGCUUCCAAGCUGCGCUACCACAUGGUAAUGCACACUGGUGAAAAGGACUAUCUCUGCACAAUGUGCCCAAAAGCAUACUCCACGAUUUAUGCGCUUAAGCACCAUAUACGUACACAUACUGGUGAAAGACCGUAUGAGUGUAAGUUUUGCGGAGACCGUUUUCUGCGACCGACCACACUUAAAAGUCACCAGCGCCGUCACACAGGCGAACGUCCUUAUGGCUGUGAUAUAUGUGGUAAACGCUUCAUACAGCACUCGUCGAUGACAACACACAUGAAGCUUAAUCAUAUGGAUAAAACUAUACAAUGUCCGCACUGUGAUAAAAAAUACGCACGUCAAACCGAUUUGAAUACGCAUUUACUUAGUCACACCGGGGAUAAACCGUAUUCAUGUCAGUUGUGCCCCAGUCGCUUUGUGCGCCAAGCAAAUCUCAAUAAGCACAUGAAUCAACAGCAUGCUGAAAAGACUAAUUUAUCCAAAUGCACGCAGCUAAUUGACGAUGCCAAAGCAGAAGCAAAUGGAAGUGUUGCUGUUCCAGACAAAUCACACGACUACACUGUGGGUAAAUUAACUGAUAAAAGUAUGCUAAGUGAAGCAAUGACAAGUGAUUUUGUGGAUAAGUGUUACAAUUUCAACAGACGUACCAUUAUCAUUAUCAGCGGAGAAUUCUUCUUCUUUAUCGGCGUGGCGAAGAAUUACUUUCACAAAGUUCCGGUACUCUUCGACACAGUAACGAAUGCAAGAUUUGUGUAAACAGCAUCGUUCGGUAAUUCGUCAUAAUAUCACAUAAAAUGAAAUUUAUUGCGCUUGCUUCGCUUAUAUUUUUUAGCUGCUGUUGUUUAGUGGCAACUUCAGAGUAUUUCAUUAAUAACAAUUUGAAUAAAGAUUCGGGUUUAAGGGCUUUAAUAUUUCGGGUACCUUGUAGAAGAUGGCAUCCUAGCGGCCGCUGUCUUAGGAGCUACAACCGAUUUCUCGAUGAACCGUUCAACAGAAAAUUUAUGAACCUGAAAAAGAAGAUCAAAAAACCCUAAACCCAAACAUGUGUUAAGGUUUCAAUUGUGGAAAGUUUGAGAAACUAGAAAAAAAUGUGCUCAUAAACUUACUGAAUAUAAGGAACAAAUAUGUAUAUGGUUUAUUUCUCCAGU
rnacentral:misc_RNA from 1 species